CAGGGAGGCGCGCGAGGGGUGCCUGCGGCGGCCGCGUGCUCCCGCGAGGGGGCGUGUCCUUCCGCGGCCAGCUGGGUCCCCGAGGGUCCAGAUCCACGCGCGGGCUGGAGAGCGCCCACGGCUGUGAAGAGGGAUGGAGAUGGAGCCUCAUGACAAAAAUGAAAGUGAACGUGAUGUGGGAAAUAUAAAGAAGAGAUCCCCAAGAUAAGGAUUCUGGAGCAGAAAGAGCACUUCCAAUGAACAACUUAUUCAUCCAAAAGCCAAGACUACUUACUGGAAAUUUCAGAGAAUGAAUGAGGGAGAGUCAGAGUGAGGGAGACACAGAAUCCGAAACAGG